GUGUAACUUCGGUUACACGUAUACUAAAAUUGGAACGAUACAGAGAAGAUUAGCAUGGCCCCUGCGCAA
rnacentral:snRNA from 1 species